CAUGAUGACAAUUCCCGGAGUGAUAAAAAAUUGAGAUACUCAGGACCAAGCCUUCCAGAGGCCGUAUGGCAUCAUAUACAUUCUCUGCUUCCUCUACGAGAUGCUGCACGCGUUGCCUGUGUGUCUCAUUCGUUUCGACGUUCUUGGAGAUGUUUUCCCAAUCUCAGCUUAACUAGGGAAACACUGGGUUUGAAAGGCGGGGUCGACGGAAUAUCAUCUAAAAUAGCGCUUGAUCUUGCAAAGAGAACUGAACACAUUCUGAAAAACCACUCAGGCGUUGGCGUGAAGGCACUCAAACUUGAAAUACGUGAAUUUCCCUUUUUCAGCACCUCACGUGAUGAUCUCAAUCGUUGGCUUGGUAUUGCCGUUAGACCAGGGAUUGAAGAACUUUACCUGCAGCUUUAUUCAUCUCAUGCGGACGUGUACAACUUCCCAUGCACACUUUUACUUGAUGGGAGUGGCAAGUCGAUUCGGCACCUUCAUCUCGGUGAAUGUGCCUUCCAUCCCACGGCUGGAGUUGGCUUCUUAAGAAGCCUGACUAGUUUGGAACUGUAUGAUGUGCAUAUUACAGGGGAUGAGUUAAUGUGCCUUCUUUCCAGUUCAGUUGCUUUGGAGAAAUUGACACUAGUGUAUUGCCAUGAGUUGAUUUUCCUGGAGAUACCUAGCCUGCUGCAGCGGCUUAGCCACCUGGUUGUCCACGACUGCUUAAAUCUGGAAGUGAUAAAGAAUAAGGCCCAUUAUCUCUACAGUUUUGAAUAUAGUGGUGCCCUGGUACGACUAUCACUUGGUGUUUCAUUGCAAAACCUUGACAUUGAUGCUUCAGGGUGGGACGUUAUUCAUUAUGCUGGUGCCAAACUUCCAUGCAUGGUGCCAAAUCUUGAAGCUCUUAACAUACAUUCGUCUUAUGUGAGGGAUAUACUGGUGGUACCUGGCAAAUUCCUCCACCUCCAGCAUCUGUGUAUUGGGGCAUUUACCCCAGACUAUGAUUAUCUCUCUCUGGUUUCUUUUCUUGAUGCUUGUCCUUUCUUGGAGACUUUCAUAUUGUCUGCAGAGCCGGAUUGCAUGGAGCAAGAAUCAGGUUUAGGAUAUUCUUUUCAUGAUCUAAGGCAGAUGCCAAGACACAUGCAUAGGAACAUGAAGGAUGUGCAGAUCAUUGGUUUUUGUUCUGCGAAGAGCAUGGUUGAGCUGACAUGCCAUAUUCUUGAGAAUUCAAAGCUGCUUAAGCGCCUUUAACUGAGCACCUGUUACAAUGGUGAGAUUUUGUGUUCCUACAACAAUAAUGGUAAAUGUCUCCCGAUGAGUAGGGGUAUGAUGUUGGAAGCCCAUAAAGCUCUCUUGGCGGUGGAAAGAUAUAUUUUGGGGAAAGUUCCCUCAACCGUUGAGUUAAAAGUUGAGGAGCCUUGCAGCCGUUGCAAUGCUCUUGAAAUCUAG
rnacentral:rRNA from 1 species